rnacentral:rRNA from 1 species
UACGGAGGGUGCGAGCGUUGUUCGGAAUCAUUGGGCGUAAAGCGCGUGUAGGCGGUCCGGUAAGUCCGCUGUGAAAGUCGAGGGCUCAACCUCGAAUGCCCGGUGGAUACUGUCGGGCUUGAGUACGGGGAGAGGCGAGUGGAAUUCCUGGUGUAGCGGUGAAAUGCGCAGAUAUCAGGAGGAACACCAGUGGCGAAGGCGGAACUCUGGGGCCUGUACUGACGCUGAGGAACGAAAAAGCGUGGGGGGAGCGAACAGGG